rnacentral:rRNA from 1 species
UACGUAGGGUGCGAGCGUUAAUCGGAAUUACUGGGCGUAAAGCGUGCGCAGGCGGUUUUGUAAGCCAGGUGUGAAAUCCCCGGGCUCAACCUGGGAAUGGCAUUUGGGACUGCAAGGCUGGAGUGUGGCAGAGGAGACUGGAAUUCCUGGUGUAGCAGUGAAAUGCGUAGAUAUCAGGAGGAAUACCGAUGGCGGAAGGCAGGUCUCUGGGCUGACACUGACG